rnacentral:rRNA from 1 species
ACGAACGCUGGCGGCGUGCUUAACACAUGCCAGUCGCACGCUGAAGCUCAGCUUUUGUUGGGUGGAUGAGUGGCGAACGGGUGAGUAACACGUGAGUAACCUGCCCCCUUCUUUGGGAUAACGCCCGGAAACGGGUGCUAAUACUGGAUAUUCACUGGUCUUCGCAUGGGGGUUGGUGGAAAGGGUUUUUCUGGUGGGGGAUGGGCUCGCGGCCUAUCAGCUUGUUGGUGGGGUGAUGGCCUACCAAGGCUUUGACGGGUAGCCGGCCUGAGAGGGUGACCGGUCACAUUGGGACUGAGAUACGGCCCAGACUCCUACGGGAGGCAGCAGUGGGGAAUAUUGCACAAUGGGCGAAAGCCUGAUGCAGCGACGCCGCGUGAGGGAUGGAGGCCUUCGGGUUGUGAACCUCUUUCGCUCAUGGUCAAGCCGCAACAAUGGUUGUGGUGAGGGUAGUGGGUAAAGAAGCGCCGGCUAACUACGUG